rnacentral:rRNA from 1 species
GGCGAACGCUGGCGGCGUGCUUAACACAUGCAAGUCGAACGGAAAGGCCCUGCUUUUGUGGGGUGCUCGAGUGGCGAACGUGUGAGUAACACGUGAGUAACCUGCCCUUGACUUUGGUAUAACUUCAGGAAACUGGGGCUAAUACCGGAUAGGAGCUCCUGCUGCAUGGUGGGGGUUGGAAAGUUUCGGCGGUUGGGUAUGGACUCGCGGCUUAUCAGCUUGUUGGUGGGGUAGUGGCUUACCAAGGCUUUGACGGGUAGCCGGCCUGAGAGGGUGACCGGCAACAUUGGGACUGAGAUACGGCACAGACUCCAACGGGAGGCAGCAGUGGGGAAUAUUGAAAAAUGGGAGGAAGCCUGAUGCAGCAACGCCGCGUGCGGGAUGACGGCCUUCGGGUUGUAAACAGAUUUCGCCUGUGACGAAGCGUGAGUGACGGUAAUGGGUAAAGAAGCACCGGCUAACUACGUG